CCUACGGGAGGCAGCAGUGAGGAAUAUUGGUCAAUGGUCGGGAGACUGAACCAGCCAAGCCGCGUGAGGGAGGAAGGUACAGAGUAUCGUAAACCUCUUUUGUCAGGGAACAAAGGCGGGGACGUGUCCCCGGAUGAGUGUACCUGAAGAAAAAGCAUCGGCUAACUCCGUGCCAGCAGCCGCGGUAAUACGGAGGAUGCGAGCGUUAUCCGGAUUUAUUGGGUUUAAAGGGUGCGCAGGCGGUCUGUUAAGUCAGCGGUCAAAGCCCGGGGCUCAACCCCCACCCGCCGGUUAAACUUGGCAGUCUUGAGUUGGAGAGAGGUAGGCGGAAUGCGUGGUGUAGCGGUGAAAUGCAUAGAUAUCGCGAAGAACUUCGAUUGUGAAGGCAGCAUGCCGGCUCCAAACUGACGCUGAGGCACGAAAGCGUGGGUAUCGAACAGGAUUAGAUACCCGAGUAGUC
rnacentral:rRNA from 1 species